rnacentral:rRNA from 1 species
UAGGGAAUCUUCCACAAUGGACGAAAGUCUGAUGGAGCAACGCCGCGUGAGUGAAGAAGGUUUUCGGAUCGUAAAGCUCUGUUGUUGGUGAAGAAGGAUAGAGGCAGUAACUGGUCUUUAUUGACGGUAAUCAACCAGAAAGUCACGGCUAACUACGUGCCAC